AUGGCGUCGCAAGAUGUCCCGGGUGGAUCUCAGAAAGGAAAAGAGUCGGUCGAAGAACUGCUUAGAAGGUUGGAUCUACAGGAGGAAGAGGAGGACAAAUUUGUGUGGGAAGAGGAAUUCAAGGAUGAGCCGGUUGCGGCAAAGUGGCUCGCGAUUGCAAAGGUGCACACAGACAAGAGCUUUAGCCCGUCGGCGCUUUACUCCGACAUGCGGGCAGCCUGGAACCCCGCAAGAACUGUUAGCUGGCGUAAGGUCGAGGACAACCUCUUUACAGUGCAGUUUGGAUGCUUAGGGGAUUGG
rnacentral:rRNA from 1 species